AACGAACGCUGGCGGCAGGCUUAACACAUGCAAGUCGAACGCCCCGCAAGGGGAGUGGCAGACGGGUGAGUAACGCGUGGGAAUCUACCCAUCUCUGCGGAAUAGCUCCGGGAAACUGGAAUUAAUACCGCAUACGCCCUACGGGGGAAAGAUUUAUCGGGGAUGGAUGGGCCCGCGUUGGAUUAGAUAGCUGGUGGGGUAAAGGCCGGCCAAGGCGACGAUCCAUAGCUGGUCUGAGAGGAUGAUCAGCCACAUUUGGACUGAGACACGGCCCAAACUCCUACGGGAGGCAUCAGUGGGGAAUAUUGGACAAUGGGCGCAAGACUGAUCCAGCCAUGCCGCGUGAGUGAUGAAGGCCUUAGGGUUGUAAAGCUCUUUCACCGGUGAAGAUAAUGACGGUAACCGGAGAAGAAGCCCCGGCUAACUUCGUGCCAGCAGCCGCAGUAA
rnacentral:rRNA from 1 species